rnacentral:lncRNA from 1 species
GUUUAGACGUCCGUUACUCCUGCUCUAGGAGACUUCCUGAGCCACUGGGACCGAGUCAAGGACUGUUGCAUGAAUUUGAGUGCAAGUUCUGUGUAGAGGAGCUCUGGGGGGCUACAGGGGGCAGGGCGGUGGGGGUGGUUCUAGAGAAGGUGAGUGGACGGCGUAAGGAAUGUAAGGGUAUGCCAGGGCGGCAGAAAGCAAGUUUUCAAAUUCCCCAGAUAUCCCCCAAAUGGCUGUGCUUCCUCAGGGCUGCACAAAGAGUUCUGUUGAGAGAGGAGUGCUACUUUCAUCCCUGGCCGAUGCUCAGCUCUCCUAUGAAGCAGUCACAUGCAUGGACACUUCCAUAGUGGCGACUGAGACCUUACGUAGUCCUUCCAAUUCCUGGCUGCAUCUUAGUGGAGCUCUUGAAAAUACAGAUACCCAAUCCCCACACCGGAACAUUUAAAUCAGAAUUUCAAGGAGCUUCUUUCCACCAGUCCCAAAGAUUUUGGUCUUCCUUCUGCCCACCUCAGAUGAAUCAAAUAACUCAAUAGGUCCAGAUGGAUUAACACGAGAAAAGAGUAUUCAGAUGUCUAGGAGUAAGAACUAAAAACAACACAACAAUGGCAGGAAUAGACCAGAACCAAGCCUAAAAUCUGGGCCUGCCACCGGAAUGUUGUGAUUACAAAACACGCUUUCAGUAUUCCAGUACACCAUGAUAUUUUUCAAGAUUGAAAUUCCGGUGUAUUUCCUGGGGUAAAACCAUGAUAGGCUUUUAAGCAAGGGAUGGAUAUAGUGAAAUAUUUUUAAGGAAUGCAGUUUUAUUCAGUUUGAAAUUUUGCAGAAUGUACCUCUCUGGAUAUAUAUUAAGAUGUACUGAUUCAGAUUUCAUACUUUUCAAAAACACUAACAUAUGUUAUUAUACCCCAAAUAUUAUUUUGGAACUUAUAACAGUGCUGUAUUUCAGAGCAUCAGGACAUGGCAAACCUGUGUUGCAAUCACAACAACUCCCUGCCAGGCCCGGGUUUCAGGACUGCCAGAGGUCUGACCCAGCAGUUACACACCUUUUCGGUAGAAGUCACUGAGUGUACGUUUUGGCCAUGUAGCCUCGAUAGUAUCGAAUCAGUAUUCGGCAGAGGAUAAAGCCCUGUGUUAACCCCCAAGGAACGAACAUCUGGAAUAUUAUUAAAUGUAAAUAUAAUUUUAAAAUUUACUGUUUUGUUCCCCUAAAUUUUGCUAGUCAAAUGUAAGAAGUUUGAUAUGUAGUGUAGGAACAAUCUUUCUCAGCUCCCUCAGCUGCUAGGUUGUAUCUGUGUCACUAUGUCACUAUGUUGCAUGUCUGAGACACCAAAUAGUAAAUACUCGUUGUUGACUGACAUGGAUGGAGAGAAGGAUUUGGGGAGUUGUAUUCAUACAUAUAUACAUAUAGUGCUUAUGUGAAUAUGUGUGUGUGUGUGGCCUGAUCGAAGAUGUUUUAUCAAGGAAAUUUUUCCAUAUCGUUUACCUGCUGAAGUCACAGAGUCAGUAUUCCUUUCAUUCCUGCCUGCAAAACAGAUCAUCUUUUUUCUCAAGGUCGUCUCUUUUGUAACAUAUUAGCAAAGGCAGCCAAGGCAGCUGGCUCACAGGGCUGACAUUGUUUCACUAAUGUCUUCUCUUAGAGCUCAAGUGCAGUAGGUUUAUAACAUACUUCCUGAGACCACAGGCAAUGGAUUUCACAUUUUUCAUGCCACCAUAACACAGAAGCGCCAUAUUUCUAACCUCUAAUGUCAGUUUCUUCAUCACCUAUAAACAUACCAACAAGCCAGUGCUGCCUAUUUUAGAUAUUUCCUGAAGCUGGAAAAGGAGUACCUUGACUCCUGCCCUGCCUUGUCAAGAUUUCAGCCUGAAAGUGACACUUCCUGCUUACGUUUCUUGGCUAGACCAAGUCACAUGGCUCUGCUUAACUUCAGACAGAAGAAGCACAGUGUUCUAUGUGCCUCCAAAAGGAGGACAAUUGAAUCACAGUGAACAAUGCUAAUGUUUACCUGAGAAGUUUCAUGAUGAAAUGCUAUGAGUGGUCAUUUGUCUAUGGUUGCAACAAACAGCAGGAAUGCAUAGAAGCGAGGUCAGUCAUCUCUCACUUCCUUCCUUCCUGUCUCCCUCCCCCACCUCUUUCUCUCCUUCCUUUUGAAAUGCAGUGGACACUUAUAAACCACUAUAUAACCCUACAGCUAGGAUGUUAUUAAUAACCUACACCUACCCAUGAACUCCCUGACAUCACUCCACCCUUGCUUUCUUCCUCAGAAGCAGCCAUUGUCUGAAUCUCUGUUUAUCGUCUGUUGUUUGUUUAAAUUACUUUUUAACAAUCACACACACAUGCUCGCACGUCACACUUAUGCCUAAAUGGUACAUUAAUUUCUCUGUUUUCAGACUAUAUAAAGAUACUAUCAUAUUAAAUGUUGUCUUUUGGGACAUGCUUUUUCCUAUGAUAUUAUGUAACUGCAAUUCUUCUAUGCUGUUGCACAUCCAUGCAUCCAUUUUCAUGGCUAUGGAUAUUCCAUUAUGUGACUACACCACCGUUUAUGUUUCUUACUAUCUCAUUUGUUAUUGAGCAUUUGUUUUGUUUCCAGGAUUUUUUUUUCCCAAUUAAGGACCAUGCUGCUAGGAAUAUUGUUAUAAGUGUCUCCAGAAGCAGCUUGUUCCGGCACAGGGAAGCAGAGAUUGAUCCCUGUUUCCUACCCCACAUCACUGGAUGUCAGAGAGAUGGCUCUGCUUCUCUGCACCGAUGGAGCUGUUUCUCCAUGCUGAGACUGGAGGAGCAGAAUCCUUGUUACGUGGAAAUUCUGAGAGGAGCCCUGAUGUGGAUUGUACUCUUUGGUUCCUGAUUCUUGACUCAGAUGUGGGUCCAUGAGGUUAUUUGGUGUCCCAUGUAUUGUUUUAAGAGGCUCCAGCUUCCUUAUGGGAAUAUCACAUUCCUCCUAUUUAACCUGAACCUGAAAGUCAUCACAGCCAAUAAAUAAACAAUAACUGGCUGAUUCUCUUCUGGCAAGUGAAAGUUCAAGGGGGAGAAAUAUACAUAGAAGGGGAAGCAGUUUUUUUGCCUUUCAGAGAAAGAGAGACAGGAAAAGGCCUAGAAUAAUGGCUUUGCUUGUUAAAAGCCCAGUCACGGAUUCAUUCCAACAGGAACACAGGCCAUAUUCAGAUGGGUGGGAAAUAAAG